rnacentral:rRNA from 1 species
UGAGGAAUUUUGCGCAAUGGGGGAAACCCUGACGCAGCGACGCCGCGUGGAGGAUGAAGGCCUUCGGGUCGUAAACUCCUGUCAGAGGUGAAGAAUGCCCGCAAGGGUUUGACGGUAACCUCAGAGGAAGCCCCGGCUAACUACGUGCCAGCAGCCGCGGUAAUACGUAGGGGGCAAACGUUACUCGGAAUUACUGGGCGUAAAGGGUGCGUAGGCGGCUGGGAAAGUCAAGGAUGAAAUCCCGUGGCUCAACUGCGGAACGGUCCGUGAAACUACUCGGCUUGAGGAUAACCGAAGAGAACGGAAUUCCAGGUGGAGCGGUGAAAUGCGUAGAUAACGGGAGGAACACCUGAGGCGAAAGCGGUUCUCUAGACUACUCCUGACGCUGAGGCACGAAAGCUAGGGGAGCAAACGG